AAUUAUAUCUUCCAGGCAUGAUGGUGCAAACCUGUAAUUCCAGCAUUUAUGAGGCUGACACAAAAAGACUGCUGUGGGUUCAAGGUCAGCCUGGGUUACAUGAUUUCUUGUCUCAAGAAAAAAUAAUCUAAUUGGAAACAAGAAACUUACUCCAAGAAUUUCUAAGGGUCUUAGAAGUAUAAUAAGACUGUAAAUUAGGCCUGUGUUUUUUACCUGGAAAGUGAGCCUGUGUUUCCCCGCAUACUACAGAUUCACAAAUGCUAAAGACUGCCAUCUUCAAGGAAUCAGCUACAGAGGAAAUAUACACGGGAGAUCUUGGAGAUGCACAUUAUUUUAGGACAUCAUGCAUCACUCAGUGUAUAGCCCCAAAAUGUCACCAUAGCGUAUAUUUUACAAAACUGGAACUGUCUCAAAACAGAAAUUUUUUUCUUUAAUCAAUGUUGAUUUUUCUAAUUCAGGGCCUGUCCUCAGUGUACAUUAAAGAGUGUAAAGACAUGGUCUCAAAUUUGACUUGUUUGAAACAAUGAGAGAAAAUGAACAAAGAUUCUAUCUGGCAAUCUGUAGCUCUUCUCUUUCCCCUUCUAACUCUUUUAUCAGUUUAAUUCUGUAACGUUAGACUAACUAUAGAGUGCUAUAAAAAUUGUUAUGAUUUAUGAAUUGGUACAGCCAAGGAAGCAUUCUGACUACUUUACUUGUAAUUUAAACUACAAAAAAAUGAACUAUUACAUUCCAAAUGACCAAUGCAUCUAGAAGUGCACUUUGACUUAAUGCAAUUGUUUUAUGUGUCACAUAAGUUCGUUUCUGGGUUUUUUGAUUUUUUUUUUUUUUUUGGUCUUUCUUCUAAGUGUUUUUUGUAAUAACUGGCUAAAGUGUCUACACUGCUCCAUUUACUACAUUGUUUUAAAACUCAACUGAUUUUGGUUUUUUCCUUUUAAAAAUAUUUAUAGACAGCUGGCUUAAUGCUUCGAUUUCUUACUAAACAAAACAAAAACAAUUAUACAGAUAUUCAAGAGCUAACAAAUCUGCUUGGGAUUAAGAAAACAAGAAAAUUCAACAGAGGUCUCUUUAAAACCUAGUCACUGUUACAGGAUUAUUGGAUUCCACUUGCAAAUAAAAUCUAUAAAAUUUGGUAAUAUCAGGGUUAUAUACAUAUGAUAUUGGUUAAUGUACAGAUUGUUCUGUUUACUAACCUUUAAAAAAUUAUUUAAAAAAUGAGAAAAGGAAAGAAUGGAAACAAAGCUUUUGUAAAUAGAGAGGGAAAGAGGCAU